rnacentral:rRNA from 1 species
AAAUGCGAUACUYGGUGUGAAUGCAGAAUCCCGUGAACCAUCGAGUCUUGGGAACGCAAGUUGCGCCCGAAGCCAUUAGGCCGAGGGCACGCCUGCCUGGUCGUCACAC